UACGUAGGGUGCGAGCGUUGUCCGGAUUUAUUGGGCGUAAAGAGCUCGUAGGCGGUUUGUCGCGUCGGCCGUGAAAUCUCCACGCUUAACGUGGAGCGUGCGGUCGAUACGGGCAGACUUGAGUUCGGUAGGGGAGACUGGAAUUCCUGGUGUAGCGGUGAAAUGCGCAGAUAUCAGGAGGAACACCGGUGGCGAAGGCGGGUCGUCUGGGCCGAUACUGACGCUGAGGAGCGAAAGCGUGGGGAGCGAACAGG
rnacentral:rRNA from 1 species